rnacentral:rRNA from 1 species
AACGAACGCUGGCGGCGCGCCUAACACAUGCAAAUCGAACGAGAUGCUUGUUUUCGGAUGAGUUAUCUAGUGGCGAACGGGUGAGUAACGCGUGGGAAUCUGCCUUUAGCUUCGGAACAACCACGGGAAACUGUGGCUAAUACCGGAUAAUGCAGCUUUGAAAGAAGUUGCCAAAGAUUUAUCGGCUAUUGAGGAGCCCGCGUUAGAUUAGCUAGUUGGUGGGGUAAAGGCCUACCAAGGCUCUGAUCUAUAUCUGGUCUGAGAGGACGAUCAGACACACUGGGACUGAGACACGGCCCAGACUCCUACGGGAGGCAGCAGUGGGGAAUCUUGGACAAUGGGGGCAACCCUGAUCCAGCGACGCCGCGUGGGUGAAGAAGGCCUUAGGGUUGUAAACCCC